rnacentral:rRNA from 1 species
UUACAACUUCGAAGGUUCGCCUACCUCUUACUAUGUAGAUGUCCUUCCGGUAGACAUCUUUCGUUGUAGUAAUAGAAAUUGGUUGUUCAAGUUUUGUUUUUAAUUGCUGUCGUCGUCGUCGAUUUGAGAGUUUCUUUAGAGAGAGGGUGAGAUCGACUUGAUGUCGUCGUAGCGUGAUUGUAGUCAAUCUGCCGCUCCGUCCUGCGUUGUUGUCGUCGAUCGUCGUUGGUUGUUUACAUCCGAUCCAGUACUGCCGCCGUAGCUCUACCUCCUCCACAGCCCGGUACCGUCAAUUUUUAUUGACACUAACUUUGGUGCACUACAUCGGUCCACAAUAUUCUUUUCUUUAUCAUUCGUGUAGUUCAAAGUCGCGGAGAAAGUGUGUGUCUACACGUUGUUUUAACCGUAAGGAAGAAUAUAUCUACUUGAACUUGGGGACUUUGAACAUUCUAUACUUGCGUAAAGAGCCUUCGGUAGUUGGUGGAGUCUCUUUCGGGACCUUAGGAGACUGUAGCACGUAAUAGUUUGAACCAGAAGUCAGAGUUAUUAUAAUAAAGUCUUAGGAAAAAGUUAGCGGUAGUUGUACCAACAGGGACAUGCGGUUGAUAGUUGAAAUAGUAAGACUUUCAUGAUCUAAAACCGAUUUACACAUGCUCGAUGACUUCUUUAACUUCUAUCAACGUUUGUUGUAUGCUCGAUGUUGGAUCGUCAAACACUCGUGCACUCACUUCCGUCACGGAAACAAGAAGAACUUGAAGAGUAAAAAGACUAAGACUUGAACACCGAUAAGAAAAAAAAACGUCCCACGUCACGUUGACGGCCACGA